rnacentral:rRNA from 1 species
CUCCUUUGACGUUAGCGGCGGACGGGUGAGUAACACGUGGGUAACCUACCUAUAAGACUGGGAUAACUUCGGGAAACCGGAGCUAAUACCGGAUAAUAUUUCGAACCGCAUGGUUCGAUAGUGAAAGAUGGUUUUGCUAUCACUUAUAAAUGGACCCGCGCCGUAUUAGCUAGUUGGUAAGGUAACGGCUUACCAAGGCGACGAUACGUAGCCGACCUGAGAGGGUGAUCGGCCACACUGGAACUGAGACACGGUCCAGACUCUACGGGAGGCAGCAGCG